rnacentral:rRNA from 1 species
GAUGAACGCUGACAGAAUGCUUAAAACAUGCAAGUCAACCGGAGGUGGACGGGUGAGUAACGCGUAAAGAACUUGCCUCACAGAUAGGGACAACAGUUGGAAACGAAUGCUAAUACCUGAUACUGUGAGAGGGAUUUGCGUCCCAUUAGCUAGUGGGAGAGGUAACGGCUCACCAAGGCGAUGAUGGGUAGCCGGCCUGAGAGGGUGAUCGGCCACAAGGGGAAUGGGACACGGCCCUUACUCCUACGGGAGGCAGCGGUGGGGAAUACUGGACAAUGGACCAAAGUCUGAUCCAGCAAUUCGGUGUGAACGAUGAAGUUUUCGGAAUGUAAAGUGCUUUAAGUUGGGAAGCGGUACCAACAGAAGAAGUGACGGCUAAAUACGUGCCAGCAGCCGCGGUAAUUC